UGGCUCAGUUGGUAGAGUAUGGUGUUUGCAAUGCCAGCAUGGUGUGUGCAAUGCCAGGGUUGUGGGUUCGAUUCCCAC
rfam:Salmo salar isolate Sally breed double haploid chromosome ssa04, whole genome shotgun sequence.